rnacentral:pre_miRNA from 1 species
UUACUACUCCCUCUGUCCCAAAAUUCUUGUCUUAGAUUUAUCUAGAUACAGAUGUAUCUAAUACUAAAAUGUGACUUGAUACAUUCAUAUUUAGACAAAUCUAAGACAUGAAUUUUGGGACACAGGGAGUAUAAU